rnacentral:rRNA from 1 species
AAGCAGAUUGAACGCUGGCGGCAGGCCUAACACAUGCAAGUCGAUGGACAUGAGCUUGCUCCUGGAUUCAGCGGCGGAUCGUGAGUAAAUGCCUAGGAAUCUGCCUGGUAGUGGGGAUAACGUCCGAAAUGGGCGCUAAUACCGCAUAGUCCUGAGGAGAAAGUGAGGGAUCUUCGGACCUCACGCUAUCAGAUGAGCCUAGGUCGGAUAGCUAGUUGGUGGGGUAAAGGCCUACUAAGGCGACGAUCCAACUGGUCUGAGGAUGAUCAGUCACACUGAACUGAACACGUCCAGACUCUGCAGGAAGGCAGCAGUGAAAUAUUGGACAAUGGGCGAAAGCCUGAUCCAGCCAUGCCGCGUGAAGGUCUUCGGAUUGUAAAGCACCCAAGUUGGGAGGAAGGGCGGUAAGUUAAUACCUUGCUGUUUUGACGUUACCAACAGAAUAACUUCGUGCCAGCAGCCGCGGUACGAAGGUGCAAGCGUUAAUCGGAAUUAGCGCGUAGGUGGUUCAGCAAGUUGAUGUGAAAUCCCCGGGCUCAACCUGAACUGCAUCCAAACUACUGACAGAGAGCACGGUAGAGGGUGGUACUUGUAGCGGUGAAAUGCGUAGAUAUAGAAGGAACACAGUGGCGAAGGCGACCACCUGGACUGAUACUGACACUGAGGUGCGAAGCGGGGAGCAAAAGGAUUAGAUACCCUGGUAGUCCACGCCGUAACGAUGUCGACUAGCCGUUGGGAUCCUUGAGAUCAGGGCGUAAAGAACGAUAAGUCGACCGCCUGGGAGUACGGCCGCAGGUUAAAACUCAAAUGAAUUGACGGAAGCCCGCACAAGCGGUGAGCAUGCGGUCUAAUUCGAAGCAACGCGAAGAACCUACCUGGCCUUGACAUGCUGGAGAACUUUCCAGAGAUGGAUUGGUGCCGGGAACUCAGACACAGGUGCUGCAUGGCUGUCGUCAGCUCGUGUCGUGAGAUGUUGGGUUAAGUCCCGUAACGAGCGCAACCUUGUCCUUAGUUACCAGCACCUCGGGUGGGCACUCUAUGAGACUGCCGGUGACAAACCGGAGGAAGGUGGGAUGACGUCAAUCAUGGCCUUACGGCCAGGGCACACGUGCUACAUGUCGUAUGCAAAGGGUUGCCAAGCCGCGAGGUGGAGCUAAUCCCAUAAAACCAAGGUCCGGAUCGCAGUCUGCAACUCGACUGCGUGAAGUCGGAAUCGCUGUAAUCGUGAAUCAGAAUGUCACGGUGAAUACGUUCCGGGCCUUGUACACACCGCCCGUCACACCAUGGGAGUGGGUUGCUCCAGAAGUAGCUAGUCUAACCGCAAGGAUACUACGGAGAUUCGUGACUGGGUGAAGUCGU